rnacentral:ncRNA from 1 species
AGAAAACUUGGUCCCAAUUUCCUUUACUUUUUAACCUAUUAAUGAUACAUGCAAAGAAAAUAUCUUAUCUAGUGGAAAAACAAAAAUAAUCUAAAAGAAAUUAUUAAACAAAACAAGAAAAUAAAAAUUUUCUUUAAAAUAAACAUACCACAACAGCAGUACUAAACAUUAAGCAAUUAAUGAAAAUUAGACUUAAUAAUUGAAAUAAAUAUUGGUAAAAAUACGUGCCAGCCACCGCGGUUAUACGUAAAAUAUAAAAAGUUAAGAAAACUCUUAAGUGAAAAAAAAUCUCAAGUAAAUAAAAAACAAAAUAAACAGUCAAAUGUAAAAAAUAAAAGAAAAACAAAAACACAAAAAUAAUUUACUAAAAAAAAAUUCACGUAAGUUUAAAUACAAACCAGGAUUAGAUACCCUGCUAUGUUAAACCUUAAACACCAGAAAAGAACUAAAAGCCAAAGCUUAAAACUUAAAGGACUUGACGGUUUUUUAGAUCUAACUAGAGGAGCCUGCUACAUAAUUGAUAAUCCACAAAAAACCUUACCUUAAUUCUAGAAAACAGCUUGUAUAUCAUCAUCGUCAGCUUACCUUAAUUAAAAGAAGUAAGCUAAAAGAAAAACCUCAAAACGUUAGAUCAAGAUGCAGCCAAUGAAAAGAGAAGUAAGUGGGCUACAAUACUUAAAAAACAAAUAGCGAAACUUUAUUUAAAAAAAUAAAAAGAAGAAGGAUUUAGUAGUAAGAAAAUUAAAUAAAAAUUUACUGAAAAAAGCUCUAAAAUACGCACACACCGCCCGUCACUCUCUUUAUAUUAAAAGAGAAAAGUCGUAACAAGGUAAGAGUAGGGGAACCUGCUCUUGGAGUUUU